ACUAGUGAAGCCCAUCAUGUUUGAGCUUCCCAUCUCUCCACCAGUGAAGCUCAUCGUGGCUGAGCUGCCCAUCGCUCCAAUUAUGAAGCAUGUCAUGUUUGAGCUGAAGGGUCUGCUGAAGCAACAUAAAAAAAAGACAAAAAGACAUGGAAACUUCAGUUCCACAGACCAAAAGUACUCCACCUCCUCCCUGCCUAUCGGAUUAUUUCCCUCCACCACAGGGUUGCCAAAGGGCCCAGAAUUGGUUCGAUUCACCUCCACCACAGGGUUGCCAAAGGGCCCAGAAUGUCUUCCAUUCACCUCCACCACAGGGUUUCCAAAGGGCCAAGGAUUUCUUAGAUUCACCUCCACCACAGGGUUUCCAAAGAGCCCAAAAUGGAGUUAACCCAUAUUCAGUGAAAGCAGGUGCUCCAAUUAGCAAAUAUUCAGGUUAUCCAGGUACAACUACCAAAGCUGGGCCUGGAAUAUCAGACACUGCCCUGGCUCACAUGCUCAGACCUCUCUCACCGAUGUGUGUGCCGGAAGAUGAUGGUGAAUGGGACUCUGGUUGGGAUCACAUGUCCACCCCUGGGACUUCUACAUGUGUUGACUCUUCCCCUGGACAUUUUAAGGCUUUUUUAGGCUAUUUUGCCAGAAAAAAGGAUGCAGUGGAGCAUAGCAUACUUAGAAAAAAUAAAUAAACUCAAG